ensembl:lncRNA
AUGGAAAACAAGAUUAAACAUCGUUUAAACCCAGGUUUCCUGCUUGUUUUUAGGUCCAUCCCGCCCAUUCUAUCACUGCUGUGUGGUCAGGGACGCUCAGGACAACAGACAUUCCUCAUGGGAAGCAGCUCGGUUCCAAAGCGUGAAAUCAAAGCUAAAUGGAUAAAUCCGUGGUGCUAUGUGAAUCUGAGAGUCAAACUGGCCAUAGCAGACACACAAGUUAGGAUGCACUUUUCCUGUGGCACACAAUGUAUUUUCUCAGAAUGGACUUUCAAAGGACCAUCAGAUGUUUACAUUUCUUCUUGUUGCCCCAAAUAGUUUUGGAUAUAGAAAUAACUUCCAAAAAUAGAGACAGACGCGAUGCAUUACCAAUGUGAUGAAUCCUUACAUCUAGGUAUCUACAACAGGUUUGUACAAAUACCAUUUUAGAGAUAGUUGAAAUAUUGGGCUUUCAUACUUUGUAAUGCUUUGAUGUGACAAUAAAUAUGCUGUUGCUAUCUAUCUAGUCUAACCUCAUUGUAGACCUGUAAUUUCCUGUUUAUGGUUAUGUCAUGAAUUGCACUGGCUUGACUUCAGCCAAAUACUGACUGUUCAGCUGAAAUAUUCCGACUGUUAUGAUGUCCACAAAACAUUAAUUAAAUGCACUUGUAACCAACUACUGAAGAGUAUGUCAAGUUAUUCAUGUAAUAAAACCCAUAUGUAUAACUUUUGCAACUUGUUUAUGUGACUUCAGUUCUUUUACAGCCACAAACACCAGCAUAUCAACCGAAGGCCAAUUUAAGUCCAUGACAGCCUUUACGUGGACUUCAUUACAAACAGGACUGACUCCCCUCCCUUCGUCAGAAGGCAGAUAAUACACCAGAGCAUGAUCUGAGACGUACAAGAUAGGAAUGUGGACUUCAAAUUUUACAUUUGGGCCCGUUGAUCGUUAAGUUCAGCCUUCAGCAGGUAAUUACUCUUUGCCACUCCUGGGCUUGUGCUGCAGAACUGGUCCUCCUGAUGUACUACAUUACAAGCACUUUUUCCUGCCCUGUCCUUGCCUAGCAGUGGGGGCACUUGCCCGUGUACACCAAGAAACAUUCCUGACAGCCUAAGCUUCAGGAUAAGCCUUCUUUCUCAUGGCAAACCUAAUGAAGCUAACAGCUUCCAACUUGCAAGUUGGAGACACAUCCCCCAAAAAAGGUAUAAAUUAAUACUGUUUCUGUCCAAACUCUCAACUUCCCUACUAGCUUUGUUAGGUCAUAUUUAAAUUUUCCUAAUGCAUUCCUACCCUCUUCUGCAAAGCCAACUCCAAUAUAAAUAGCAGAACUAUUAAAUUUAAUGAGUGGUUUAAUCACUCUUUGGUUCAUAUUUUUCUCCCUUCCAGCAACACCUCACCACACACACAGAGGAGCUGUCGUCCAUCUCUAGUAAGGAAGAUCUCUGAACUCACCCAUUCUCCAAGGCAGUCAGAACAGCUCAGUGAAGUGCCUCCAACCUUGCUGCCCACCACUGCCAGUCAGGUUAGUCUGAACGGCUCCUCCUGAGCUGCUGAGAGAGCUGCUCCUUGGGGGCUUCUGCUGGAGCAGUCCAUCAGCUUUGGAGAUGCCUCCUGCCAAGCAGGUACCCAGAGCUGUCCAACCUGCACCAUGGGAGACCUGUGACUUAGUGAUUCCACAGCCAGCUCCUUCAGAAAUAAAAAGGAUUCUGAAGUCAUAAUUAGCAGGGACGCGUUUAGUGCUAUCUCAGAUUAAAUCCCACUAAUUAAAUGCCACUCUAAGAGAUAAUAAUCUCCGCUGCGAUUGAUGUUUCUGAAGACAGGCACACUGACCACCACAGCUAGCUUUACGCAAAUGACAUGCUUUGUAAUUUUGUACAAAGCAGAAGCAUUAAAGAAAAGCUAUUUCAGUUUAGUGUAAGCUUGAAUACCUUCACUCUCUCCACUCCCCAUAGACUGUGGCCCUUUUUAAGCUAAUUCCAGACAGCUUUAAUAAAUAAGUGACUACCUCAUAUGCAUUUGGUUUAGAAAUAUUUCAUACCUUCACAUACUUUAGAAAAUGUUGAGCCAGAACAAUCCUUUCUCUGCAUGCAUUAAUAACUUUCUCUGAAUUCAUUUCUUUUAUCUAAAAUAAUUCCCUAAAUUCAAAUUUGGGUUUCAAAUACUCUUGGCUGCAAGAAAACAAGUUUUCUUGAAGUAUUCUGUGCAUUUUUUAUUUCAAAUAUUAUCAUCAUCUUUUUCUACACCAGUGCCUUUGAGACCUGUUCUCCAAAUGUAGUGUUACAAAAUCAUUAUGUUAUGCUCUUGCUUCUUGUGUGAGAUCCCAAUAGGAACUUGUUGCACUGAAAGUGCUGCUUCAGGAACAGUAGUAUUUGGUUCCCCUUAAAUGAACGCAUUAUUUUCUAUUUUAUGUGCUUAAGCUGCCAGCUUUUCUCUUCCCCUCCCUCCCACUCCUUCUUAUGGUGCCAAGAAAAAUAUUUCGGUUAUAAAUUUGGCCUUAUUAGUUUGAAGUCUGAGCUGUGAGAGAUUGUGUUUUUGCAGUAGAAAACUUCUAGCACUGAGCUAUAGGCAUUUACUAAAUUCCCUUACCAAAUGGCUGCAGGGGUUGUUUUUCACCAAGAGCUGUUGAGGCAGAGCCUAGUACAGGGUAGAGUGAGAAUGCCAAGUAUUUUGUUUUUCAGAACGUUCUGACCAGGUGGGUAGAUAUCAGUAGUAGCUGAGGAGGAUAGGUUGGGUAGGGAGAUCCUAGUAUACCCUGUCCUGCUGUCCCCCUUGCUGAAUGGGGAACCACAAGUGAGCUUAGAACACAUUGUCCUCCUGUUCCCCUUUGAAAAAUGAAAAACAGGUGGGUGAUAGACCUUAUAUGGAAGAGUACCUUAGCAACUGCUUCGGGUAGGUUGUGAGCUUGAGAUGAUCAGCCAAGGAGUGCAGAAGAGAUGUGACACACGUUGGAGAGAGGAUAUGUAACAGAAUGGAUUUCGCUGACAAGGUGUGCAAUUCCACCCUCGCCACAAGGGUGCGUGCACGCAUGCAUUAUUGCAAUAAUGAAUAAACUUUGCUGCUCCACAAAGAUCACUGCCUGACCGGAAAUUAGUGAUUUUUUAAUGUUUCUCACAUAAACUACACUUAUUCUUUUAGCUAAUAAAAGCAAACACUACAUUCAGAGUUUAGUUUUGUUUAGCUUUGGAACGGAGAAAGAAA